AACGAACGUUGGCGGCAUGCCUAACACAUGCAAGUCGAACGAGACCUUCGGGUCUAGUGGCGCACGGGUGCGUAACGCGUGGGAACCUGCCCUUAGGUUCGGAAUAACUCCCCGAAAGGGGUGCUAAUACCGGAUAAUGUCUUCGGACCAAAGAUUUAUCGCCUUUGGAUGGGCCCGCGUUGGAUUAGCUAGUCGGUAGGGUAAAAGCCUACCAAGGCGACGAUCCAUAGCUGGUCUGAGAGGAUGAUCAGCCACACUGGGACUGAGACACGGCCCAGACUCCUACGGGAGGCAGCAGUGGGGAAUAUUGGACAAUGGGCGAAAGCCUGAUCCAGCAAUGCCGCGUGAGUGAUGAAGGCCUUAGGGUUGUAAAGCUCUUUUACCCGGGAUGAUAAUGACAGUACCGGGAGAAUAAGCUCCGGCUAACUCCGUG
rnacentral:rRNA from 1 species